UCCGUAGGCGGUGUGGCAAGUCGGAAGUGAAAUCUCUGGGCUUAACUCAGAGGCUGCUUCCGAAACUGCCGUGCUAGAGUGCGAGAGAGGCAAGUGGAAUUGCGGGUGUAGCGGUGAAAUGCGUAGAUAUCCGCAGGAACAUCCGAGGCGAAAGCGGCUUGCUGGAUCGCAACUGACGCUGAGGGACGAAAGCUAGGGGAGCAAACAGGAUUAGAUACCCUGGUAGUCCUAGCCCUAAACCAUCAGGACUUGGGGUUUGCCCUGUACGGGGCAAGUCCCGUAGCUACGAAACGUUAGUCCUGCGCCUGGGGAGUACGGUCGCAAGGCUGAA
rnacentral:rRNA from 1 species